rnacentral:rRNA from 1 species
UGGGGAAUCUUGGACAAUGGGCGCAAGCCUGACCCAGCAACGCCGCGUGAAGGAUGAAGUAUUUCGGUAUGUAAACUUCGAAAGAAUAGGAAGAAUAAAUGACGGUACUAUUUAUAAGGUCCGGCUAACUACGUGCCAGCAGCCGCGGUAAUACGUAGGGACCAAGCGUUGUUCGGAUUUACUGGGCGUAAAGGGCGCGUAGGCGGCAAUUCAAGUCAUCUGUGAAAUCUCCGGGCUUAACUCGGAACGGUCAGAUGAUACUGCUUUGCUAGAGUGCAGAAGGGGCAAUCGGAAUUCUUGGUGUAGCGGUGAAAUGCGUAGAUAUCAAGAGGAACACCUGAGGUGAAGACGGGUUGCUGGGCUGACACUGACGCUGAGGCGCGAAAGCCAGGGGAGCAAACGGGAUUAGAUACCCCCGUAGUCCCUGAGCGGGCUGGCAAGGCGCAU